CGGGACGGGUGAGUAACACGUGGAUAACCUACCUAUAAGACUGGGAUAACUUAGGGAAACCGGAGCUAAUACCGGAUAGUAUAUUGAACCGCAUGGUUCAAUAGUGAAAGACGGUUUUGCUGUCACUUAUAGAUGGAUCCGCGCCGCAUUAGCUAGUUGGUAAGGUAACGGCUUACCAAGGCAACGAUGCGUAGCCGACCUGAGAGGGUGAUCGGCCACACUGGAACUGAGACACGGUCCAG
rnacentral:rRNA from 1 species